UUUUCGCUAGUUGGAGGGUCUUGGAGGCAAUUGUUGGGUAUAUUUAUUUAUAUGUGUGUGGUUUCGCUGAAUCGAAGAGAAGAUGAGUUCGUCGCGAAUCUGUGACGAAACCAGGCGAAACAAUUUGUGGGUUUGAUGUCUCGGUCGUGCUGAACGCGCUGGUGCAGUUCGUUCGCAAAUCUGACGGACGGAUUUUCUGAUAUUGUGCGGGAUCGCGAAGGGGUCAUAGGUGGCGAGACGAAAGUUUUAUGAAAAG
rnacentral:lncRNA from 1 species